CGAACCAAGGCUGUAAACUUUGGGGAGGUCACGCAGAUACAGAUACGCGGGUGACACACUACACUUGAUGAUAACAUGGCGGAUUUCAUACAAAAAUUCACCUACUCUGAUGAUUCUCGUCGUCGUGAUGAUGUGGUAAAUUUGUUUUAUAUAUGUAGAAUCAUCAGAAGUUGUGUGUUCCCGCGUAUCUAAUAAAAUGGCGAUCUGCGUGACCUCCCCAAAGUUUACAGGCUUG